ACCUCCCAUGCUCACAGUAACUCAGAGACAAAGAAUCAACGGGUUAAUAUAACAAAUAUGACAAAUAAUAUGACAAAUAUUACAAAGAAAUGAAGUGCAAUUUUAAUCAAUUGAGCGUGGCUGCCUGCAAAUGGAAUUGAACUGCGUGGCAAACUAAGGAGAUGAAAAAUGUAUGAAAACAACGACUUGGGCAGCAAAAUAGUCAGCCUGCCUUCUCACCUGAAUCUCUGCCGGGGCGUCUGCCUCUCCGGACUCUUGCACAGGUGGCCGAUGUAAUAGAGGGGGAAGAAGAGGCAGUUCCAGGACGUGGCGAACCAGAACCCGGCCACGGCACGCAGACUCCCGUUACGUGCCACCGCCCACGCCGGGGCCGGAGCAAAGAUCCUCGCGGGCGGCCGUGGCGAUAGCACCAGGACCAGGACGGCCGCACAGCUGUCGGCAGAGCCUCACCGGGACCUAAACUAAGUGGGAGAGACUGAGGGAAGAGAGAGGUUUGUCUCCGUGGGAGUGACGGUGAACUGCAGCGCUGUGCCUCAGUGGUUCAACAGGGCUCGAAGGACGGCGGAGCAAGUUCCUCGCCGAGGAGCAAACUUGUUGUUUGUCACUGCCCUGACCUGGCCCAGCUGGUCGCCGCGGCCCCGCCCCUGCAUGUCUCUCUGAUUGGAUGCCGAGUCCGGCCAGGUCGCUCUCAACUGUCAUCGAACUGGCCUCUGAUCACCGGAGGACCCGUCUUUCCAUUCACCACAGCAGGUGGUUGGAGGCCCAUCCAAAGUGGGCUGAGGGAUGUGGACCAGUCCGCUCCCUGAGGGGGGGAGGACGACGAGGAGAUUCAAGCCUUCCUGGCUCCUUCUGCACUCCUCCAUUGGCUGUCGGCUCUCAUCCACAUCCACAGCUCCCUUAAUUGGCUGAUUUCCUGACCCACGCCAUACUUUCCUGAAUGGACAACCAUCAGCUGACACGGAAGAAGCGUGGCGUCUGUGGAGUUGGACGACAGCUGAUCAGGCAGUGAGAAGGUCGGCUGUCGGUCACACACCAGGGCUGCACCGACCGACCGUGCAUAUUGUUUGUAUAUGAAAGGCAAUAUUGAUACAGGAGGAAAUUGUGGUGCCGGUGGUGGUGGUGGUGGGAUAUUCAAACACGUAUAUAUUCAAACGCUUUUUUUUUUUUUGUAAUAUGAUUGAAAGUUUGAAAUGGAGAGGGGUAAGAUUACAUAUAGGAGCAGAGGAAGGGGAAUGUGACAGCGGUGCCCAACUUUUUAAAACUAUUAUCACUU